rfam:Brevundimonas sp. Leaf363 contig_4, whole genome shotgun sequence.
AUCAGGUCCCGGGUUCGCGGGGCCAGGCCGGCGCCGGCAGGCGAAUCCGGUCCGACGCCCGUCGAUAACCUGGCGUCACG